rnacentral:lncRNA from 1 species
AGUUUCCCUUUUCAGCAAUAGAGGCCUUGGAGGCCUUUCUACCUGCGUUGCAUCCUGUGGCUGGACCACUCCAACGAUCUCGGCAGAAUCGUUACACAGGAAGAAGUCUGGCUGGCCCCAAGCCUGGUGCAAAAUGAAGAAAUGGCACUCCACAUCAAUUCAUGUUUACUUGUCGUCAUA